rnacentral:rRNA from 1 species
AUACGGAGGAUGCGAGCGUUAUCCGGAAUUAUUGGGUUUAAAGGGAGCGUAGGCGGGAGCUUAAGUCAGCGGUUAAAUGGUGCGGCUCAACCGUGCCCUGCCGUUGAAACUGGGUUUCUUGAGAGUGCAAGAGGCGGAUGGAAUUCAUGGUGUAGCGGUGAAAUGCUUAGAUAUCAUGAAGAACUCCGAUUGCGAAGGCAGUCCGCUGGGGCACGUCUGACGCUGAUGCUCGAAGGUGCGGGAAUCAAACAGGAUUAGAUACCCUGGUAGUCCGCACGGUAAACGAUGAUUACCCGCUGUCGGCGGCAGACAGUCGGCGGCCAAGCGAAAGCGAUAAGUAAUCCACCUGGGGAGUACGCCGGCAACGGUGAAACUUAAAGGAAUUGACGGGG